GGGCGGAUAGCUCAGUAGGUAGAGCGCCGGUCUUACAAACCGGUGGUCGUCGGUUCGAGCCCGGCUCCGCCCA
rnacentral:tRNA from 1 species